CAGAAUCCCUUGGUGAUCCAAAAGCAUCUACUUUGAUGGCAUGGGAUCCAUUUGAUGGAGGUUGGAUCGAUUCUGGUUGGCUGGUGUAGUAUCUUGCACCUAUCAGCUUCCUACGAAUUCACAGGAGCUUAAACAGAGGUGUGGAAUGUUGUCGCAGAUAAAAAUGAAGGAAAUUACCAGUAUCAAUGAUGCCAAUUAUAACAUCACCGGAAGCUUUUCGCCGGAGUCGCUGCGAUCCAAUGCCUGAUUCUGUGUCCAAGAAAUCCCAAGAACGCGUUGUAUGAAGUUGAAGAAUCCGGUCAGGGAAAACCGACACCACUUCAUCAAAGCCUGAUGCGAAGCAUCCAAAACACUCGAUCAGAAUAGAGAGAUAGCAAUCAAGACUGAGAUUGUUAACUUGCAUCUGAUCCAACGAAUUGAAGUUUGUGAAUGAGGAAAUGAUUAAAAGUCGAUUCAAUUGAGCUGGAACAUGAAAACACCAACCAGAUAAUAAAGCGGCUUCCUUUUCGGUAAGCAUAGCUGAGAACCCCUUGAAUGCAUGAUGGUAACUUUGCAUCAGGGACACUCUUUCUUUCUCCUCACUGUUACGACCAACAUAAAAGUUAAACAGCAGGUUGCAGGUUGAUGGUUUCCAUGUUAAGAUUACUAUUUUAUUGUCAAUGUUUAACAAAAACUCUUGCCUCGGAAUAACUGAGGACAACAUUUGCAAGUGAGCUGCUUGUUGAGUUUCA